rnacentral:rRNA from 1 species
CAUUACAAGUUUUCCACUUUGCAGCCUGAUCCAGUCAGAACUCAGAAGAUAACCAAGGAUGGGUCUGGUCAGUACUGGGAUGGGAGAUCAAAGGAAAACCAGAUUGCUACUGG